UACGUAGGGUGCUAGCGUUGUCCGGAUUUAUUGGGCGUAAAGGGCUCGUAGGCGGUUUGUCGCGUCGGGAGUGAAAACUCAGGGCUUAACCCUGAGCCUGCUUCCGAUACGGGCAGACUAGAGGUAUGCAGGGGAGAACGGAAUUCCUGGUGUAGCGGUGAAAUGCGCAGAUAUCAGGAGGAACACCGGUGGCGAAGGCGGUUCUCUGGGCAUUACCUGACGCUGAGGAGCGAAAGUGUGGGGAGCGAACAGG
rnacentral:rRNA from 1 species